CUCGAAAAGAGGACAAACCCCAGGGGAGAGAGACGUUUGAGACGAGAAAACCCAAACCCUAAAAGGACGACCUUUUGCUCGAAGAGAAAGAGAAGAAAGAGGGAGGACAUCUCCAAAAGUUAGACAAAUUGCCCCCAUAUCCUUCUCCAAUCAACCCCCCAAAUCUUCCGACUAGCUCCCGAUCCCGCUUCUUUCUCUCGAUUUCGAAGCCUCAUCACGCUAAUCUCGAAUUCCGAAACGCUAAUCGUCCUUCUGGGGUUUUUUAGGGUCUCCCGAGGUCCGGAUCCACGGCUCCUGCCAAUGCCGUGGUGGCCAUGACGACGGAGGUGGUGGCAACGACGCUAAGGCUGGAUCCACCACCGCCGCCCCGCCCCGCUGGAUGCGGCGGCGACGGCUGCGACGCUCGGGACCCCUGGCCGCUCCACCAUGUCCGCCAUCGCACCGUCUUCUGCCGCCUCUGCACCUCCUGCGUCCUCAAGUAUCACUCUGGAUCCUUCUGCGUCGCCUGCUUCGAGCUCCUCGACGCCCUUCCACUGCCGCCGCCGGCAGCGCUGCCCUCCCUUGUACGCUGCUCCAGGUGCCCGUCCAUCGCACACUCUGCCUGCCUCCAAGAAGCCGAGCGCGGAUCCACCUACCUUUGUCCUAGCUGCUCCAACCCCGAGAGCUUUUCUUACUUUCGCGUUAGCAAGGAUGGACAGCAGCGAUCGUUUGAUCUCACGUCGGCGAAGGUGCUCCUCGCCGCCACCCGGCUGUCGGUGGCCUCCAUGAGCAGGGCGGCGGCGGCUGCGAGGGCCGAAGCGGAGAGGAAGGUCAGGGAGGCGGCACUGGCGAGGAAGAGAGCGAGGGAGAUGCUGGAGAGGGUCUUUACGCUCUCGAAGAUGGAGAAGGAGAAGAAGAAGAAGGAAGCUAAUGAGGCCGUGGUGGUUCCCGUGCCGGAGGUGGCGGAGACAAAGAAGAAGAUGCCAAAGCUGAGCAGCACGGUGGCCGCCGUGGUGGGGCAGAAGAGUGUGCAGAACAGGGAUACUGAUAGGUGGAUGAAGUUCCAGGAGCCGGUGGCAACGGCACUGAAGCCAGUUCAAGGUCUUGUAGAUGAUAAAAGCAAGGUGACUUCUUUAACUGGGAUGCAUAACCAUGCUAAUAAUGGUGACAUGAAGGGCAAUUUAGGGAGCCUGUCUCGUUCUGGAAAUAAUGUUGGCCAAAGGGAGAGCAAGGAAAGGGGAGUUCUUUCAGGUACUCAGGGUGCCUUUGUUAAGGAGGAGGAUGGUGUUGUGGGUAGAUGCUGAUAGUGGUCCUAGGUUCCCUCAACCAACUCAAGAUGUAUCAAUCUUUGGGACCAGCUUCAGAGAUAUCUUCAUGGGUUUGCUGAACAAGGUGACUCAGCAUUCAUGAGUUGGUUUUGUGGGUCGUUGUAUGUUUUGAUUUCAGUCCUUGAUGGAUGCCUGCAAUCGUUUGGAGAUUGUUCAGAGCAUUUUGCUGGUUUUUCUUCGAUCUUAAUGGAAGUGCGUGGAAGCACUUGGGGCACAUCUGCUCGUGUGGCAUCUCUUCUCCAAUGACGAGUCUAUCGCUUGCUGUUCGUUUUGUGCACACAGCGUUUAACGUUUUCAUCUUAUCUGGGAAGAUAUUCCAAUAUAUAUUUUGUACAGCAGGAGUUGAAUCGUGGAGUAACCUGUUAUUUGUUUCAAUGUGGCAAAUGUUAUCAUAGUGAUAACGUUAGCUGGACACUGCAAGCCGCAUGUGACCCUCUUGACGCUUCGAGCUGCUUUUCUGCUGGAAGCUCGAAUGAAUUAGAGAAAGAGGCAAAUACAGAGGAUCGGGAGAAAUCCAAGUAGUGCAAUGCGAAGCAAAUUCUGAAUGGAGUGAUUUAGUCAACAGCUUACGCUGUUAUGCAUUUUCAUAUCAGCAUAACAUCAUUUUAUGGGAUUAACGUAUGAGAUCAGUUGUAUCUACUAUAGGGCUCUAUAAUGUAGCCGGU